rnacentral:rRNA from 1 species
GACGAACGCUGGCGGCGUGCUUAACACAUGCAAGUCGAACGGAAAGGCCCUGCUUUUGUGGGGUGCUCGAGUGGCGAACGGGUGAGUAACACGUGAGUAACCUGCCCUUGACUUUGGGAUAACUUCAGGAAACUGGGGCUAAUACCGGAUAGGAGCUCCUGCUGCAUGGUGGGGGUUGGAAAGUUUCGGCGGUUGGGGAUGGACUCGCGGCUUAUCAGCUUGUUGGUGGGGUAGUGGCUUACCAAGGCUUUGACGGGUAGCCGGCCUGAGAGGGUGACCGGCCACAUUGGGACGGAGAUACGGCCCAGACUCCUACGGGAGGCAGCAGUGGGGAAUAUUGCACAAUGGGCAGAAGCCUGAUGCAGCAACGCCGCGUGCGGGAUGACGGCCUUCGGGUUGUAAACCGCUUUCGCCUGUGACGAAGCGUGAGUGACGGUAAUGGGUAAAGAAGCACCGGCUAACUACGUG